rnacentral:lncRNA from 10 species
CACACACAGCUAGCUCUUCAGGCCAGGCCCCCAGGGUUUCGUCCACCUCUCACCUUUGACGACGCGAAUGAAGAAUGAGGAGGUGCUGCGAUCGAACGACUGCGAGGAAACACACCCGCUCUCAUGGCAUUCCCAGUAAACUGAGAAGACGUGAUUAAACCUCAGGAUCUCCUACUAAUAGAGAAAUGUAUAACGAUUUAGCUACCAGAUCUGAAUACUGAAGGGUUGGUAGGGGACCAGAGAAUAGAGGAAGCAUUGUAGGUUCUAGAGUGGAGAAGGGACCAUCCAAAAUGGAGUUUGAAAGAGAAUUCUGGCCUUUGUGUUUAGAGUCUGGAAUUGUCAAGAGUCUGAAAGCACAGAAUAAGACUGCAGCUAGAGCAAUUUAGGCGCCAUAGUUUGUCAAAACAGAGACGGGAUCUCACUGUGUUGCCCAGGCUGGUCUCGAACUGCUGGACUCAAGUCAUCCUCCCAUCUUGGCCUCCCAAAGUGCUGGAAUUACAGUGGACAACCUUCAAUGCACUGGUACUUUGUACCCUGACCUCUACUGUGAUGAACACUCAACUUGGGCAAGGAAGUGAAAUUCUCCAAAGCAAGGAGGAGGGUGCUCUGAAUAGAUGGACCCUGAUUCUACUUACAAAACUGUGGGAAGAAACCGGAGCUUCCUCCCUCUCUGAGACAACGGUGCCACUGAGACUGCGUGAGAUGCGACGUAAAUUCUCUGCACUGUACUGCUCAUCCUCCCCACACUCCCUGCUGAGGCCUCGGCAAGGUGUAGCCUUCAAACACACAGACACAUACAGGCAGACACAUAAUACCAGACUUAUGGUUUUCCCACAGACAGUAUCCUCAGGGUAUGGGAAAGAGUAGGGGAAGACUCAGUAGUAAUAGACACCUGAAUUAGAUGUAUUGGUAAGAUAGUGGCCAUGUAACAAUCUCCUCUAAUUCAAAAGAAGCCCAAUCAUAGACCUUAUUUUCUUCUGAUAGCCCCAUAUCACCAUGCCUCUGCCUUAUCAUCAUCCCUGUCACAUCUCUCCAUAAUUCCUUCCCCAACACACCACCCCAGGCCCAGCACCUUAGCACCUGAGGCUGCUACCUGAGAAGUACGCACUGUUCUGGCUUCAUGGAGACCAUGCUCCAUUUCUGCUGUUGAAGUCUUUGAGAGACCAGGAUCAUGGGCUGAGUGCAACCUCCUCCCCAUGCCAUCUGCAGAGCCUGAAGAGGAAAACACAAAUACAAGUUGAGGCCAUCUCUUCCCCUAGGGCCUAACCUCUAAGCCUAGCAGCACAAACUCAGGAGCUGUUGUUUCAUUUAAUAAUAAAUAUGCAUCCUUGAAUUCAACGGAGGAACAUGCUCCUGGAAUUUAGAAGCAAGAGGGGCUGGGCGCGGUGGCUCACACCUGUAAUCCCAGCACUUUGGGAGGCCAACACGGGCAGAUCACGAGGUCAGGAGAUCGAGACCACCCUGGCUAACAUGGUAAAACCCUGUCUCUACUAAAAAUACAAAAAAUUAGCCGGGCGUGGUGGCAGGCACCUGUAAUCCCAGCUACUCGGGAGGCUGAGGCAGGAGAAUGGCGUGAACCCGGGAGGCGUAGCUUGCAGUGAGCGGAGAUCACGCCACUGCACUCCAGCCCGGGUGACAGAGCGAGACUCCGUCUCAAAAAAAAAAAGAAACAAGAAUUUUAGAAUAUAGAUAGUUUACUGAGUGUCCCCAUCUUGCUUCAUUUCAUUUUUGUAAACAUAAUCAGCUUCUGUCAGACUUAGGCUCAAGACUUAUAGACAGAGGAAAGUAUCUAACACAGUGAGUUUUGUUUUCUAACACAGUGAUUUUCUAAAGUAUCUGUGGUGACAAAGGAAAUUAUCUCCAGUCUAGUUCAGAAUAGAAAUGAUCAUAAUAAUCAUCUAUCAAACCUCCUCAUUUUAUAUAACAGGAAAAUGAGUUCCAGGGUCUGAGAGUUUAGUAGUUUAACCAGGAUUAAAAUUAAAUCCUCUUGAUUUUCAGUACAGUACUCUUACCAUCUCACCUGGUGACCUCUUUUACUCUGAGAGCAGGAGCUCCUCAGGAAUGUUUUACAUAUGUAAUGCUCUUUUCCCCUUAGCUUCUCUCAAAUCAUUUAAAUUUCUAAACAACCACUAAAUGCUUACCUCUUUUCAAAAUCUUUCUAGAUUGUUCAGUUGCUCUAAACUGGAUUGGUGACUCCCAAGGGGCUAUCCCCAAUCCAACUAAUUAAGUUUUCCAUUCCAAAACUGUAUAUGCCCCUGACCUACAUUUGAUACAUAUGUCCAUGGCCAAUUCAUGUCUUGAUUUGAUGAUUUGAUUCUAAUAUAUAUAUAUAUAUCUGGCUGAAGCUGAUAUUAUUCAUGUAAGUAUUGUAAGACCAGUUAUUUUCAGUAUUCCUGGGUACUUAAAUGCAGUGCUUUCAAUACCACCUCAGAUUCAUCUGGGAACUUUUAAAAAUAUAGCUUCCUGGAUGUUACCACAGAGCUGAAUCAGAAGGUUUGUGGUUGGUGCCUGGGAAUUUUCAUUUUUGAAAGGUUCCCAAAAAGUCUAAGAAAAUAUCCUUGAACAUUAUUGGGGGAAAUGGGAAAUGUUACAGUCUUCCUAAAAAACAACCUGGUAAUCUCCAAUAAAAUAAAAAAUAUAUUUAUCCUGUUGCCCAACGAUUCUAAUCCUGAGAAGAAGAAGAAAAAAAUACCAGUUCAUAACAACAUAUAUAUGAGAAUAUUUUCUACUGACAUAAUUUAUAGUAGCCAAGAACUAGAAAUAAAGUAAUGCCCACCUAUAGAAGAAUAAAUACAUUAUGGUUUAAUACCAGAUAUUGUCCAGCCACUUAAAAAGAUUGAACUGAGUUAAACUAGAUGAUUUGAAGAAAUUUUAAUGAAACAUUGUUGCAUUAAAAGGAAAAAAAUCUGUAAAAUGAUAGACAAGCAUUUGUUUAUGUAUAUGUAGGUCUACAUAGGAUUGUAUAAACAGAAAAUACAGUGUAUGCACACUAGAUAAUUACCUGGGGAAGUAGGGACUGGCUGUGAGAGAAGAGACAGGAAAAUUGUCUAUAAUAAAAACAGCAUGUGUGUUAUGUUCUUAUUUCUAUAAAAUUA